rnacentral:rRNA from 1 species
UACGAAGGGUGCAAGCGUUAAUCGGAAUUACUGGGCGUAAAGCGUGCGCAGGCGGUUUUGUAAGUCUGUCGUGAAAUCCCCCGGGCUCAACCUGGGAAUUGCGAUGGAGACUGCAAGGCUAGAAUCUGGCAGAGGGGGGUAGAAUUCCACGUGUAGCAGUGAAAUGCGUAGAGAUGUGGAGGAACACCGAUGGCGAAGGCAGCCCCCUGGGUCAAGAUUGACGCUCAUGCACGAAAGCGUGGGGAGCAAACAGG